CACGGAGGGUGCGAGCGUUGUUCGGAAUUAUUGGGCGUAAAGGGCGCGUAGGCGGAUUGGUCAGUCUCUUGGUGAAAUCUUCACCGCUUAACGGGAAAAUUGCCGGAGAUACUACCAGUCUUGAGAGCGGUAGAGGUGAGUGGAAUUCCAGGUGUAACGGUGGAAUGUUUAGAUAUCUGGAAGAACACCAGUGGCGAAGGCGACUCACUGGACCGUAUCUGACGCUGAGGCGCGAAAGCCAGGGGAGCGAACGGGAUUAGAUACCCCCGUA
rnacentral:rRNA from 1 species